GCGCAGCAGGCGAGAAAACUUUACAAUGUGCGAAAGCACGAUAAGGGAACUCUGAGUGCCUCCUAAGGAGGCUGUUCUGAUGUCUAAAAAGCAACAGAAGUAAGGGCUGGGUAAGACCGGUGCCAGCCGCCGCGGUAACACCGGCAGCCCAAGUGGUAGCCACGUUUAUUGGGUCUAAAGCGUUCGUAGCCGGCCGGGUAAGUUCCUUGGUAAAUUUAGCCGCUUAACGGUUAAGCUUUCAGGGAAUACUGCUUGGCUUGGGACUGGGAGAGGUCAGAGGUACUCCGGGGGUAGGGGUGAAAUCUAUUAAUCCCUGGGGGACCACCGGUAGCGAAGGCGUCUGACCAGACCAGGUCCGACGGUGAGGGACGAAGGCUAGGGGCGCGAACCGGAUUAGAUACCCCUGUAGU
rnacentral:rRNA from 1 species